AGGUCCAUUCUAAUUCCCUGCAGGCUGAUGCCAGUACCUGCUGGGUUUCGCUUGUGGACCACAUUAAACUGGAAAACUUAAGCAUGUAUGAGCUUACUUGGUAGUCUGCUCAUGACAUAGUUCUCUGGACAUGU
rnacentral:snoRNA from 1 species